GCGAAAGGUGCUUGCACCUUUCAAGUGAGUGGCGAACGGGUGAGUAACACGUGGAUAACCUACCUCAAGGUUGGGGAUAACAUUUGGAAACAGAUGCUAAUACCGAAUAAAACUUCGUAUCGCAUGAUACAAGGUUAAAAGGCGCUACGGCGUCACCUAGAGAUGGAUCCGCGGUGCAUUAGUUAGUUGGUGGGGUAAAGGCCUACCAAGACAAUGAUGCAUAGCCGAGUUGAGAGACUGAUCGGCCACAUUGGGACUGAGACACGGCCCAAACUCCUACGGGAGGCUGCAGUAGGGAAUCUUCCACAAUGGACGAAAGCCUGAUGGAGCAACGCCGCGUGUGUGAUGAAGGCUUUCGGGUCGUAAAGCACUGUUGUAUGGGAAGAACAGCUAGAGUAGGGAAUGACUUUAGUUUGACGGUACCAUACCAGAAAGGGACGGCUAAAUACGUGCCAGCAGCCGCGGUAAUACGUAUGUCCCGAGCGUUAUCCGGAUUUAUUGGGCGUAAAGCGAGCGCAGACGGUUGAUUAA
rnacentral:rRNA from 1 species